rnacentral:rRNA from 1 species
CAUUUUUUACAAUGGAGAGUUUGAUCCUGGCUCAGGAUGAACGCUAGCGGCAGGCCUAACACAUGCAAGUCGAGGGGC